UUGGGGCUGCCCUCUGGUUGUGAGGAUGCCCGAGUUUAUUUCCGAACCAAAUGAAUGAGGUCAACCGGAUACACCGGUACACGGAAGGCCCGAUUUAGAAAGCAACAUGAUUCUCGCGAUGGGCUAUAGAGGGCCUGUCAAAAGAACGUAGCACAGGAUAUUCUAUUACCUUCUAGUUGUCAUGAUUUUGCUGAUUCGUUCUAUUUCGUGCAAGACUUCAAGCAAGUUAGCAGUGCGCGGCGCGUCUAAAACUCGAGUAGAUAGUUGUCAGUUGUAAAAGUAAUUACAGACUAGUGUAUCGUAGCAAGGGUGCAGGGUGGCGAACUAAGCGGUCACUUGCCACGUGGAUCGCGCUCAAGUAAACCGAGCGGAAAAAGGCCAAGUUUGGCCUUUUUCCAUCUGUUAGCCAAUUUCGGAGCAGCUUCCCGGUCAGUCAGACACCCUGGGACAAUAUACGACGGAACAGCAAAUAUCCCUAAUUCUAGAGCCAACCCGGCACGUGCUCCAAGUGGAAGUUUCGGCACGAGAAGAUUAUCGACGGCCGAGUGAUUGCACGGAUUUCCAAAUCUCGCUUAGGAAGACGCCUUGGUACUGACCCCCAGGUUCGAUUUAAGCCAGUUUAUGCCAUAUUAUCUGCCGAACGCCAUCGUUGACGGGCAAAUCCGUCGGAAGCUAUUGCGCGACGUCCCGAUAGGAGCUAGUCUGAUCGACGCAACCCCCAUAUACCGGAAGAUUAGCAGCAAGUGUCAGUUCAGUGCCAGGUGGCCAGGGUGGCUAACCAUCCUCGACGAAUCGUCAACAUUAUGAAUUGCCGGACAGUUCCAAAGGUCCCACCACACCGUAAGUGAACCCGCACCCGACCGUAUGCAGAAAAACCGUAAGUCGCGCUGAUUAGUUAGUGUAAGACAAAACCCUUUAAUUGUAAUUAGCCUGUAAGAUAAAUCGUGAUCACGAAUUUAGUAGGAGAGUUAGAUCCCAAUAAUGUAUAAGAAUAAAACAAUAAUGAUAACAGCUCGUUUGUCUCGCUCAAAAGUACUGUUUUUCUAUUAGAUCAAGAAGCAAGGUUCCUUAGAUUUCACACAUUACGGUUGAUAUCGCCCUGAUCCGAUGAAAAUUUACAUAAAGCUAUAAUUUCCCACCCCUCACUUUCUGAAAUCUUUCCGAGGUUCGAAACGGUAAUAUUGGAAAAGCUAGUUGGUUCCAACCCUGCUAAUGAACCCUCUUGCGUACAGUCCGAGGAUAUGUUGAUUUUUAUGUUGUAAGGGCAAGCUUUCGUGUACAGUCAAAGUAGCAUAGAACGACCCUGGGAGUUUUCCUAU